AGAAUUGCUGAGAUAAAGAAGAGUAGUAACAAAAUUAUUUUAAGCGAGCUUCGUUAGGUGCAAGGAAGCAAAUAAUGAGUUGUGAAAAUCCCUUUUGAGCUAUGUACUGAAAGUAUUUAUAAAGUGCAUUGGUAGCACCCAUUAUAGUGCCGGCGUAUUAUUUAGUACGUUUUAGAUUGGUUUAUUUUAUUAAUAAUAAAUCGAUGAAUAUAAGGUGGUACCGCGUUUUAUGACGCCCUUAGU
rnacentral:ncRNA from 1 species